rnacentral:pre_miRNA from 1 species
CACCACUAGUAGUUGAAGCUGCCAGCAUGAUCUCAACUUGCCUUCUGCUAGCUAGAGGGAAAGAUCAGAUCAUGCGGCAACUUCACCUAUUGAUGAG